AUUGUGAAAAGUGCUAUAUAAAUAAAAUUUUCUUGAAUACAUAGAUGAGCUAUAAUAAUAAUCACUUUAAUUUAUAUAGCGCCUUUCAAAGGACCCAAGGUCGGUUGCUCACUGCACUGCAAAAAUGUAUUUCUUACUUAGUAUUUUUGUCUUGUUUUCAGUAAAAAAAAAAAAAAAUCUAAAAAAAAUCUUAAAUAUUUUCUAGAGCAAAAUAACCUAGGAAAAUAAGCAAAAACUCUGCCAGUGAAACAAGAGAACUUUUCUAAAAGUAAGUGUUUAUGGAAAAAGUAAACUUAUUUCAAGAUAAUUUUUCUUAUUAUAUUGACCGAUAUUUAAAUUUUUUGCUUGUUUUAAGCACACAUUUACUUGAAGUUUAUAUUUUUGGUCUAAACCUAUACUUAUUUUGCUAGGUCAUUUAGAAAAUCAAGAAAAUACAUCUUUAUUGUUUUUUUUUAUUAUUUUUACUGAAAACAAUACAAAAAUACCAAGUCAUUUUUGUCAGUGUGACUCCAUUAAAUGUUCUUGUGAUAAAGAAUGUGUGUGUGUGUGUGUGCGCGUGUGAUGUAGAUUAAACAUGAACGGGCCAAAACGGACAUGGCAGCAGGUCAAAAUCAAAUACAAGAACAUUCUGCAGAAUGCAGUGAAAAAGAAUACCCACAGACAAGGCACGGGUGGUGGGUCACCAAAGGCUGACCUUUCCCCAGCAGAGGACAUGGCCUUGGAGCUAAAUAAAGGCAGGCCCGUCUUAGAGGGGAUCCCUGGGGGGAAAGAGACGAGCAUAGGUUCCUCCCAAGAUGCCACCCGCUUCAUUCAAGUGUCUGGCAGCACUGUGUUCCUGUUAGAGCCACCAGCACAAGCACCAGACGAUGCUGAUCCAGGUGAAAGCCCCAGUGCAGCAGCAACAGCACAUGAUGGAGACGAUGAUGAGGAGGAGACCAUCUCUCUGGAUUCCAGAAGGCAUGAGGACCCAGAUGCUAUACAGUGGGAAAACCAGCCUGGCAACAUAAGCUCACAAGCUAUCAGAAAGUUGUAUGGCAACCACCUCCGGCGCCAAAUAGAACUGGCAGACAUAGACAUUCAGUACAAGAAGAAAAAGAUAGAAAAUCUUGCACUGGAGUCCGAAAUAAAAAAGAGGACAAUUAGGAAACUGGACCUUGAAAUAAAAAAACUUGAGAGGGAGGUGAGAUAUGCCUUCAAUGUACACUGUAUGCUAACUGUAACACAAAUGUAUUAAUCAUUAUUUUUCUUUCCUCCCCCAGCUCCAAGAAGAUGACACAGCUCAAAAUAAAAAUUAGCAAUCAGUACAACCAAGUCAUCGUUAUAAGGCACCGGCCUCUUUUGCCCACCCCCCCAGCACCAGGUGUGGCCACUAGCCUAUAUGAAGGCCCAAAAUUGUGUGUUCCUUUCUGCUCUGACAAUGGCAUGCCCAUUCUUGCGAGAUGUGGUGGAUGAAGAAGCACUUGUGCUGAGGAGAGCCUUCAGGCGAGAAAGGGUCUUCAGGGACCGGUUGGACCCACUGGCCUUCCCUGAUGACCAUCUUUA